GACGAACGCUGGCGGCGUGCCUAACACAUGCAAGUGGAGCGACGAACCAGGCUUCGGCCUGGAGCAAAGCCGCGAACGGGUGAGUAACACGUGGGUAACCUGCCCCGAUGAUUGGGACAACCCGGGAAACCCGGGCUAAUACCGAAUGUGGUCCCGGCUCAUGAGAGCCGUGACGAAAGGAAGCUUCGGCCUCCGCAUCGGGAGGGGCCCGCGGCCCAUUAGCUCGUUGGUGGGGUAACGGCCUGCCAAGGCUCCGGUGGGUAGCUGGUCUGAGAGGGCGGACGGCCACACUGGGACUGAGACACGGCCCAGACUCCUACGGGAGGCAGCAGUGGGGAAUUGUUCGCAAUGGGCGCAAGCCUGACGACGCAACGCCGCGUGGAGGAUGAAGAUCUUCGGGUCGUAAACUCCUUUCGAUCGAGACGAAUGGCCUCCGGGUGAACACUCCGGAGGAGUGACGGUACCGAGAGAGGAAGCCCCGGCUAACUCCGUGCCAGCCGCCGCAGUAAAAC
rnacentral:rRNA from 1 species